rnacentral:rRNA from 1 species
UACGGAGGAUGCAAGCGUUAUCCGGAAUGAUUGGGCGUAAAGCGUCCGCAGGUGGCAAUGUAAGUCUGCUGUCAAAGCGUCUGGCUCAACCAGAUAAAGGCAGUGGAAACUACAUAGCUAGAGUAAGGUAGGGGUAGAGGGAAUUCCUGGUGUAGCGGUGAAAUGCGUAGAGAUCAGGAAGAACACCGGUGGCGAAAGCGGCAUCCUGGACCGACAUUGACGCUGAUGAGCGAAAGCUAGGGGAGCAAACGGG